rnacentral:misc_RNA from 1 species
ACGAGUUCAAAAGUCGGUCGACCGUGCUGGCGGAGACGCAAGUGCACGUCGGUCGCGAACCAUCCACACACCCGUGAACCUAUGGCCUGCGGAGUCUUUACGGACUCGGGGCAACUUUUUUUUCACACUCUGUUCGUAAAGGAAUGUCUAUAAACGCGUAAAGCAAA